AUUGAACGCUGGCGGCAGGCUUAACACAUGCAAGUCGAGCGGGGAAGGGUAGCUUGCUACCUGACCUAGCGGCGGACGGGUGAGUAAUGCUUAGGAAUCUGCCUAUUAGUGGGGGACAACAUUCCGAAAGGAAUGCUAAUACCGCAUACGCCCUACGGGGGAAAGCAGGGGAUCUUCGGACCUUGCGCUAAUAGAUGAGCCUAAGUCAGAUUAGCUAGUUGGUGGGGUAAAGGCCUACCAAGGCGACGAUCUGUAGCGGGUCUGAGAGGAUGAUCCGCCACACUGGGACUGAGACACGGCCCAGACUCCUACGGGAGGCAGCAGUGGGGAAUAUUGGGCAAUGGGCGCAAGCCUGAUCCAGCCAUGCCGCGUGUGUGAAGAAGGCCUUUUGGUUGCAAAGCACUUUAAGCGAGGAGGAGGCUACUUGGAUUAAUACUCUAGGAUAGUGGACGUUACUCGCAGAAUAAGCACCGGCUAACUCUGUGCCAGCAGCCGCGGUAAUACAGAGGGUGCGAGCGUUAAUCGGAUUUACUGGGCGUAAAGCGUGCGUAGGCGGCUUUUUAAGUCGGAUGUGAAAUUCCUGAGCUUAACUUAGGAAUUGCAUUCGAUACUGGGAAGCUAGAGUAUGGGAGAGGAUGGUAGAAUUCCAGGUGUAGCGGUGAAAUGCGUAGAGAUCUGGAGGAAUACCGAUGGCGAAGGCAGCCAUCUGGCCUAAUACUGACGCUGAGGUACGAAAGCAUGGGGAGCAAACAGG
rnacentral:rRNA from 1 species